UACGGAGGGUGCAAGCGUUAUCCGGAUUCACUGGGUUUAAAGGGUGCGUAGGUGGGCAGGUAAGUCAGUGGUGAAAUCUCCGGGCUUAACCCGGAAACUGCCAUUGAUACUAUCAGUCUUGAAUACCGUGGAGGUAAGCGGAAUAUGUCAUGUAGCGGUGAAAUGCUUAGAUAUGACAUAGAACACCGAUAGCGAAGGCAGCUUGCUACACAAUAAUUGACGCUGAGGCACGAAAGCGUGGGGAUCAAACAGG
rnacentral:rRNA from 1 species